UUAAGCGACUAAGCGUACACGGUGGAUGCCCUGGCAGUCAGAGGCGAUGAAGGGCGUGCUAAUCUGCGAUAAGCGCCGGUAAGGUGAUAUGAACCGUUAUAACCGGCGAUACCCGAAUGGGGAAACCCAGUGUGACUCGUCACACUAUCAUUAACUGAAUCCAUAGGUUAAUGAGGCGAACCGGGGGAACUGAAACAUCUAAGUACCCCGAGGAAAAGAAAUCAACCGAGAUUCCCCCAGUAGCGGCGAGCGAACGGGGAGGAGCCCAGAGCCUGAAUCAGCAUGUGUGUUAGUGGAAGCGUCUGGAAAGGCGCGCGAUACAGGGUGACAGCCCCGUACACAAAAGCGCAUGUGCUGUGAGCUCGAUGAGUAGGGCGGGACACGUGGUAUCCUGUCUGAAUAUGGGGGGACCAUCCUCCAAGGCUAAAUACUCCUGACUGACCGAUAGUGAACCAGUACCGUGAGGGAAAGGCGAAAAGAACCCCGGCGAGGGGAGUGAAAAAGAACCUGAAACCGUGUACGUACAAGCAGUGGGAGCACCCUUUUGGGUGUGACUGCGUACCUUUUGUAUAAUGGGUCAGCGACUUAUAUUCUGUAGCAAGGUUAACCGUAUAGGGGAGCCGUAGGGAAACCGAGUCUUAACCGGGCGUUAAGUUGCAGGGUAUAGACCCGAAACCCGGUGAUCUAGCCAUGGGCAGGUUGAAGGUUGGGUAACACUAACUGGAGGACCGAACCGACUAAUGUUGAAAAAUUAGCGGAUGACCUGUGGCUGGGGGUGAAAGGCCAAUCAAACCGGGAGAUAGCUGGUUCUCCCCGAAAGCUAUUUAGGUAGCGCCUCGUGAAUUCAUCUCCGGGGGUAGAGCACUGUUUCGGCUAGGGGGCCAUCCCGGCUUACCAACCCGAUGCAAACUGCGAAUACCGGAGAAUGUUAUCACGGGAGACACACGGCGGGUGCUAACGUCCGUCGUGAAGAGGGAAACAACCCAGACCGCCAGCUAAGGUCCCAAAGUCAUGGUUAAGUGGGAAACGAUGUGGGAAGGCCCAGACAGCCAGGAUGUUGGCUUAGAAGCAGCCAUCAUUUAAAGAAAGCGUAAUAGCUCACUGGUCGAGUCGGCCUGCGCGGAAGAUGUAACGGGGCUAAACCAUGCACCGAAGCUGCGGCAGCGACGCUUAUGCGUUGUUGGGUAGGGGAGCGUUCUGUAAGCCUGUGAAGGUGUGUCGUGAGGCAUGCUGGAGGUAUCAGAAGUGCGAAUGCUGACAUAAGUAACGAUAAAGCGGGUGAAAAGCCCGCUCGCCGGAAGACCAAGGGUUCCUGUCCAACGUUAAUCGGGGCAGGGUGAGUCGACCCCUAAGGCGAGGCCGAAAGGCGUAGUCGAUGGGAAACGGGUUAAUAUUCCCGUACUUGGUGUUACUGCGAAGGGGGGACGGAGAAGGCUAUGUUGGCCGGGCGACGGUUGUCCCGGUUUAAGCGUGUAGGUGUGUGUUCCAGGUAAAUCCGGUUCACUUUAACACUGAGGCGUGACGACGAGGCACUACGGUGCUGAAGCAACAAAUGCCCUGCUUCCAGGAAAAGCCUCUAAGCAUCAGGUAACAUCAAAUCGUACCCCAAACCGACACAGGUGGUCAGGUAGAGAAUACCAAGGCGCUUGAGAGAACUCGGGUGAAGGAACUAGGCAAAAUGGUGCCGUAACUUCGGGAGAAGGCACGCUGACAUGUAGGUGAAGUGAUUUACUCAUGGAGCUGAAGUCAGUCGAAGAUACCAGCUGGCUGCAACUGUUUAUUAAAAACACAGCACUGUGCAAACACGAAAGUGGACGUAUACGGUGUGACGCCUGCCCGGUGCCGGAAGGUUAAUUGAUGGGGUCAGCGCAAGCGAAGCUCCUGAUCGAAGCCCCGGUAAACGGCGGCCGUAACUAUAACGGUCCUAAGGUAGCGAAAUUCCUUGUCGGGUAAGUUCCGACCUGCACGAAUGGCGUAAUGAUGGCCAGGCUGUCUCCACCCGAGACUCAGUGAAAUUGAACUCGCUGUGAAGAUGCAGUGUACCCGCGGCAAGACGGAAAGACCCCGUGAACCUUUACUAUAGCUUGACACUGAACAUUGAGCCUUGAUGUGUAGGAUAGGUGGGAGGCUUUGAAGUGUGGACGCCAGUCUGCAUGGAGCCGACCUUGAAAUACCACCCUUUAAUGUUUGAUGUUCUAACGUGGACCCGUAAUCCGGGUUGCGGACAGUGUCUGGUGGGUAGUUUGACUGGGGCGGUCUCCUCCUAAAGAGUAACGGAGGAGCACGAAGGUUGGCUAAUCCUGGUCGGACAUCAGGAGGUUAGUGCAAUGGCAUAAGCCAGCUUGACUGCGAGCGUGACGGCGCGAGCAGGUGCGAAAGCAGGUCAUAGUGAUCCGGUGGUUCUGAAUGGAAGGGCCAUCGCUCAACGGAUAAAAGGUACUCCGGGGAUAACAGGCUGAUACCGCCCAAGAGUUCAUAUCGACGGCGGUGUUUGGCACCUCGAUGUCGGCUCAUCACAUCCUGGGGCUGAAGUAGGUCCCAAGGGUAUGGCUGUUCGCCAUUUAAAGUGGUACGCGAGCUGGGUUUAGAACGUCGUGAGACAGUUCGGUCCCUAUCUGCCGUGGGCGCUGGAGAACUGAGGGGGGCUGCUCCUAGUACGAGAGGACCGGAGUGGACGCAUCACUGGUGUUCGGGUUGUCAUGCCAAUGGCACUGCCCGGUAGCUAAAUGCGGAAGAGAUAAGUGCUGAAAGCAUCUAAGCACGAAACUUGCCCCGAGAUGAGUUCUCCCUGAGACUUAAAGUCUCCUGAAGGAACGUUGAAGACGACGACGUUGAUAGGCCGGGUGUGUAAGCGCAGCGAUGCGUUGAGCUAACCGGUACUAAUGAACCGUGAGGCUUAACCUU
rnacentral:rRNA from 1 species